AUAGCGCAUAGUACCGUGAGGGAAAGGUGAAAAGAACCCCGGGAGGGGAGUGAAAGAGAACCUGAAACCGUAUGUCUACAAGCAGUCGGAGCGAAAGCGACGGCGUGCCUAUUGAAGAAUGAACCAACGAGUUACGUGCACUAGCGAGGUUAAGUGGAAGACACGGAGCCGAAGCGAAAGCGAGUCUUAAGAGGGCGGAUAGUUAGUGUACGUAGACCCGAAACCGCAGUGAUCUACCCAUGUCCAGGUUGAAGCGCAGGUAAAAUUGCGUGGAGGACCGAACCUGUGAGCGUUGAAAAGCUUUAGGAUGAGAUGUGGGUAGAGGUGAAAUUCCAAUCGAACGCGGAGAUAGCUGGUUCUCCCCGAAAUAGCUUUAGGGCUAGCCUCAAGUAGUAAGUAUAGGCGGUAGAGCACUGAUCGGGCUAGGGGCCAUAAAGGUUACCGAACCCUGUCAAACUCCGAAUGGUUAUACUGUAGAGCUUGGGAGUCAGACUACGAGUGAUAAGAUCCGUGGUCAAAAGGGAAACAGCCCAGACCACCAGCUAAGGUCCCCAAUGUCGUACUAAGUGGAAAAGGAUGUGGGGUCUCUAAAACAACCAGGAUGUUGGCUUAGAAGCAGCCACCAUUUAAAGAGUGCGUAAUAGCUCACUGGUCGAGAGACCCUGCGCCGAAGAUUACCGGGGCUAAAGUACGAAACCGAAGCUGUGGCUACGACGUAAGUCGUGGGGUAGGGGAGCGUUCUGUGAGGGCUGAAGUCGUUCUGUAAGGAACGGUGGACUUCACAGAAGUGAGAAUGUUGGUAUGAGUAGCGAAAAGAAUGGUGAGAAUCCAUUCCACCGAAAGCAUAAGGAUUCCUGGGCAACGAUCGUCGUCCCAGGGUAAGUCGGGACCUAAUCCGAGGCAUGGAGCGUAGGAGAUGGACAACUGGCAGAUAUUCCAGUACCGGUAAUGAUUGUUUGAGCGAUGGAGUGACACAGGAGGGCAGGCAGGCAGGAGAUUGGUUGUUCCUGUACAAGCGUGUAGGAUGGGACGUAGGCAAAUCCGCGUCCUGUGAGUCUGAGGCGUGAUGUGGAGGUUCCGGAAACGGAACUGAAGCUGCUGACCCCACACUGUCGAGAAAAGCUUCUAGUUAGAGAAUUACCGCCCGUACCGUAAACCGACACAGGUAUGCGGGGAGAGAAUCCUAAGGUGCGCGGGAGAACCCUCGUUAAGGAACUCGGCAAAAUGUACCCGUAACUUCGGGAUAAGGGUAGCCGCUGUUGUGAAGUCUGCACAGACGGAGCAUGAGGCGGUCGCAGAGAAGAGGCCCAAGCGACUGUUUACCACAAACACAGGUGCCUGCUAAAGAGAAAUCUGACGUAUAGGUGCUGACACCUGCCCAGUGCCGGAAGGUUAAGGAAGGAUGUCCGGAGCAAUCCAAAGCAUUCGACCGAAGCCCCGGUGAACGGCGGCCGUAACUAUAACGGUCCUAAGGUAGCGAAAUUCCUUGUCGGGUAAG
rnacentral:rRNA from 1 species